rnacentral:rRNA from 1 species
GACGAACGCUGGCGGCGUGCUUAACACAUGCAAGUCGAACGGUGAAGCGCUUUCCUUUUUGGUUGGUGUGGAUGAGUGGCGAACGGGUGAGUAACACGUGAGUAACCUGCCCCCUUCUUCUGGAUAACCGCAUGAAAGUGUGGCUAAUACGGGAUAUUCUGCGCCUGCUGCAUGGUGGGUGUGGGAAAGAUUGUGCCUUUGGGUGUUUUCGGUGGGGGAUGGGCUCGCGGCCUAUCAGCUUGUUGGUGGGGUGAUGGCCUACCAAGGCGGUGACGGGUAGCCGGCCUGAGAGGGUGGACGGUCACACUGGGACUGAGACACGGCCCAGACUCCUACGGGAGGCAGCAGUGGGGAAUAUUGCACAAUGGGCGCAAGCCUGAUGCAGCGACGCCGCGUGAGGGAUGGAGGCCUUCGGGUUGUGAACCUCUUUCGCCAGUGAAGCAGGCCUGCUCCCUGUGGGUGGGUUGACGGUAGCUGGAUAAGAAGCGCCGGCUAACUACGUG